AUUGAAUUUUAAGUCUUUGAGAAAAUCUGGUGGGAGAUUGGAGGUGAUCUUUACAAAUUCAAAUGUAGGACUAGAUGCUGAAGUGUUUUCAGAGCUUGCUUCAAGAUACUCACCCCAAGGCAUCUGGCCAUCACAUCUGAGAAAUUGUCUUUUCCUGCUUUGCACAGUCAUGCUGCACAGUAUUAGGAGAUUUGAAGCAGAACUGUCCUGCUGAAGAAAUUCAGUCUGGCUCCAGGGGAACUGCCUGAGAGAAAGGGAAUGGCUCUGGUGAGCCAGAAACUGUUGUAGUUUUUACAGGAACAAGAGCAACCAACCAACCAAACAGGUGGGAACAGAAGAUAGGAAACAAAGCU